AUACGUAGGUGGCGAGCGUUGUCCGGAUUUACUGGGUGUAAAGGGCGAGUAGGCGGGUAAACAAGUCAGAUGUGAAAUACCGAGGCUCAACUUCGGGGCUGCAUUUGAAACUGUUUAUCUUGAGUGAUGGAGAGGCAGGGGGGAUUUCCCGCGUGGUGGGGAAAAGCAUAGAGAUUGGGAGGAACACCAGUGGCGAAGGCGGCCUGCUGGACAUCAACUGACGCUGAGGAGCGAAAGUGUGGGGAGCAAACAGGAUUAGAUACCCUGGUAGUCCACACCGUAAACGAUGGAUACUAGGUGUGCGGGGACUGACCCCCUGCGUGCCGGAGUUAACACAUUAAGUAUCCCACCUGGGGAGUACGAUCGCAAGAUUGAAACUCAAAGGAAUUGACGGGG
rnacentral:rRNA from 1 species